rnacentral:rRNA from 1 species
AUGGAUAGGAAAUUUGCUGUUGGCGAGGAAGUUCUGCUCAAGCUCCAACUUUAUGCACAAUCUUCGCUGGUCAACCGCCCCUGUCACAAGCUCGCAUUGAAGUUCUUUGUUCCAUUCCGUGUCACUGAAAGAAUUGGUGCUGCUGCUUAUCGUUUGGACCUUUUGGCUGCCAGCCUCAUACAUCCCGUCUUUCAUGAUUCCCAAUUGAAGCCAUUUACUGCAAACUACUCUCAAGUGUUUGUAGACUUGCCUGAGCCACCAGAUUUGUCAGCGGUUACAUUGGAGCCCGAAGCGAUUCUCGAAUGACGCAUGAUAAAGAAAGGUAAUUCAUCAAUCCCUCAGAUCAAGGUUCAGUGGCAUGGAAUUGCUGCAGAUCAUGCAACCUGGGAAGAUUAUUAUGUUCUUCGGGCUCGUUUUCUGGCGGCUUCACUCUGGGAGGAGUCUACAUCUCAAGGGGGGAAAGUGUCACGUCCCCACCAGUGUUGGUGUCGACGGACAACAGACAAGUGGCCCCAGGUCUCACUGUGCAGAGUCAAAGGGUGUAAGCGUGAUGGUGUGCCUGACUACGGGUCGGCUAGUAGCGUGUACUGUGUGGUUAUAUUAUAG